AUUGAACGCUGGCGGCAGGCCUAACACAUGCAAGUCGAGCGGAUGAAGGGAGCUUGCUCCUGGAUUCAGCGGCGGACGGGUGAGUAAUGCCUAGGAAUCUGACUGGUAGUGGGGGAUAACGUCAGGAAACGGGCGCUAAUACAGCAUACGUCCUGAGGGAGAAAGUGGGGGAUCUUCGGACAUCACGCUAGUAGAUGAGCCUAGGUCGGAUUAGCUAGUUGGUGGGGUAAAGGCCUACCAAGGCGACGAUCCGUAACUGGUCUGAGAGGAUGAUCAGUCACACUGGAACUGAGACACGGUCCAGACUCCUACGGGAGGCAGCAGUGGGGAAUAUUGGACAAUGGGCGAAAGCCUGAUCCAGCCAUGCCGCGUGUGUGAAGAAGGUCUUCGGAUUGUAAAGCACUUUAAGUUGGGAGGAAGGGCAGUAAGUUAAUACCUUGCUGUUUUGACGUUACCAACAGAAUAAGCACCGGCUAACUUCGUG
rnacentral:rRNA from 1 species